rnacentral:rRNA from 1 species
UACAGAGGGUGCGAGCGUUGUCCGGAAUCACUGGGCGUAAAGGGCGCGUAGGUGGUGAUCUAAGCGUGCGGUGAAAGCCCGAGGCUCAACCUCGGGUCGGCCGUGCGAACUGGGUCACUGGAGCAGAAUAGAGGCAGGUGGAAUUCCGGGUGUAGCGGUGGAAUGCGUAGAGAUCCGGAAGAACACCGGUGGCGAAGGCGGCCUGCUGGGUUCUGGCUGACACUGAGGCGCGACAGCGUGGGGAGCAAACAGG